GCACAAAACAGAAGAAAAAGAAGGAAGAAUGGAAAACACAAAUACAUCACACGAUUUGUACUACCCUCCUCUUCCUUUUUGCCCUCUUUUCGCAUU
rnacentral:ribozyme from 14 species